GACCUGCUCAUUGAAAUGUUAUUGUGGCCUAAAGCUUACUGCAUAAUUGUUGGUGCGGACGUCCACGGCUUUUAAUUCAUACUUUCACUUUAUUUCCGCAAAUCCUGAUAAUAGGAGGACAAGCACAUUAAAAGCCCCAGCGGCGGCUACCUCCUCCAUAUUUUUUCACUUCAUUUUUUUUAUUUCCACUGUGAACACCA
rnacentral:lncRNA from 1 species